GGGCUUGUAGCUCAGCUGGCUAGAGCACACGACUGAUAAUCGUGAGGUCGAUGGUUCGAGUCCAUCCAGGCCCACCA
rnacentral:tRNA from 1 species